rnacentral:rRNA from 1 species
CCUACGGGAGGCAGCAGUGAGGAAUAUUGGUCAAUGGGCGAGAGCCUGAACCAGCCAAGUCGCGUGAAGGAUGAAGGAUCUAUGGUUUGUAAACUUCUUUUAUAUGGGAAUAAAGUGAGGAACGUGUUCCUUUUUGUAUGUACCAUAUGAAUAAGCAUCGGCUAACUCCGUGCCAGCAGCCGCGGUAAUACGGAGGAUGCGAGCGUUAUCCGGAUUUAUUGGGUUUAAAGGGUGCGUAGGUGGUUAAUUAAGUCAGCGGUGAAAGUUUGUGGCUCAACCAUAAAAUUGCCGUUGAAACUGGUUGACUUGAGUAUAUUUGAGGUAGGCGGAAUGCGUGGUGUAGCGGUGAAAUGUAUAGAUAUCACGCAGAACUCCGAUCGCGAAGGCAGCCUACCGGCGCGCAACUGACGCUCAUGCACGAAAGCGUGGGUAUCGAACAGGAUUAGAUACCCUAGUAGUC